GAUGAACGCUGGCGGCGUGCCUAACACAUGCAAGUCGAGCGAUUCUCUUCGGAGAAGAGCGGCGGACGGGUGAGUAACGCGUGGGUAACCUGCCCUGUACACACGGAUAACAUACCGAAAGGUAUGCUAAUACGAGAUAAUAUGCUUUUAUCGCAUGAUAGAAGUAUCAAAGCUCCGGCGGUACAGUAUGGACCCGCGUCUGAUCAGCUAGUUGGUAAGGUAACGGCUUACCAAGGCGACGAUCAGUAGCCGACCUGAGAGGGUGAUCGGCCACAUUGGAACUGAGACACGGUCCAAACUCCUACGGGAGGCAGCAGUGGGGAAUAUUGCACAAUGGGCGAAAGCCUGAUGCAGCAACGCCGCGUGAGCGAUGAAGGCCUUCGGGUCGUAAAGCUCUGUCCUCAAGGAAGAUAAUGACGGUACUUGAGGAGGAAGCCCCGGCUAACUACGUGCCAGCCGCCGCCGUAA
rnacentral:rRNA from 1 species